rnacentral:rRNA from 1 species
GUAGUCCACGCCGUAAACGAUGAUGACUAGCUGUCGGGGCGCUUAGCGUUCCGGUGGCGCAGCUAACGCGUUAAGUCAUCCGCCUGGGGAGUACGGCCGCAAGGUUAAAACUCAAAGAAAUUGACGGGGGCCUGCACAAGCGGUGAGCAUGUGGUUUAAUUCGAAGCAACGCGCAGAACCUUACCAGCGUUUGACAUGGUAGGACGGUUUCCAGAGAUGGAUUCCUCCUUACGGGACCUACACACAGGUGCUGCAUGGCUGUCGUCAGCUCGUGUCGUGAGAU